UGGAAAGACACUAGUGGUCUCCCUAACUUACAAAGGAAUUUUAGGCUACAUCUUUCUCCAUUUUGCCACCGUAAUCACCUGGAACUGGAUCUGACUAAAUUGACAUUUACUUACCUGAGGAAAAUACCUAAAAUAUCUGUUUCUAUCUCACCUGUUGUUUUUUUGUUUUGUUUUGUUUUGUUUUACUAUUUUCAAUUUUAUUUAUUACUGGGGAGGGAUGCUGCAGCCACAGCAUAUAUGUGGAGGUCAGAAGAGAAUUUCCAGGAGUUGGUUCUUCCCUUCCACAUUGGCUUCCAGAGAUCAAAAUCAUGUCACUGGGCUUGCUCGUCUCUCACAGAGUUUUUGGGGAGGAGCCUCGGCAUACAGAAACUCAAGGCAGCAGUAGUCUUCCAGAUACUUAGUGUGAGAUCAGACCAUCACUCUGCAUUGGAAGGACACCAGCCAUCUGUCUGACUUCCCUGUCCUUUUCCAAAUCCACUGGGAAGCUGGCCCAUCAGGUCACUAAAAAGUGCACCACCCAUGUCUGGCAUAUUCCUCAAUCAAGGUGUAGGUGUUCAUGUGUUCAGAUAUAUUGUCUGGAUUGUCCAACAAAGCAAGAAGAGUCUCUGAAGAGCUGCUGCAUGGCAUUGGGAACAAAACUCUAAAAUACUUUGCCAUGUCAAGUUCUGUAAACAGUCCAACCAAACUAAUCCUUCAAACCAAAAACUUGGAAAGUACUGUGGGAUGCUAUAGAAUGUCCAUAAAUCUUUUAUGGAGUUGUGGAGUUUAAUGUUGCUAUAGUUUGGAUAUGGCUUGGUCCCUAUAGUGAUUGGCCAUAUUGUGGUGAUAGAUUUAGAAGAUUGUCUGUUUCUGAGGAUGUUUCCAGAGACAUUUAACAGAGGAGAGAAACCCACCCUGCAUGUGAGCAAUAUCAUCCCAUGGGCUAGAGUCAUAGGUAAAAUAAAAAUGAGAAAUCCAGCUGA